AAACAUUGCUCCCUGAGUUAAUAGAUAACCAUGGGGAGUAAGACCUGCCCACUGAACCUACUUAGGUUUGAAGGGCUGCAGUAUCCUGACUGUACUAAGGUAGCAUAAUCACUUGGCCAUUUAUUGUGGUCUGGCAUGAAUGGUUCAACGGGGUGAGACUGUCUCCUUGGGGAGAUUAAAAAUUAACCUCAGGGUGAAGAGGCCCUGCUUAGACGGAAAGACGAGAAGACCCCAGGAUCUUAACUGUUGUCUGAUGUAUGCAACUAGAUAACAAGUUUGGUUGGGGCGACCCAGGAACAGAAAAAACUUCCUGAUAUAAUAUGAAUAGUACGUUAAGAUCCCUUUAAAAAUAAAAACCACCUUAAGUGUGCUUGCAAAAAAAGAAGGAAUAAAGUUUUCAAGUUACCCUGGGGAUAACAGCAUAAUUCUUUUUUAGAGACCCUAUCGACUAAAGAGCUUAUGACCUCGAUGUUGGACUAGAGUUACUUAUAGGAGCAGAAGCUUACUUAAGUCAGUCUGUUCGACUGUUAAACCUCUACGUGAU
rnacentral:rRNA from 1 species